GCUCAGAAACUCAAAGGAAGUUGACGGGGGCCCGCACAAGCGGUGGAGUAUGUGGUUUAAUUCGAUGCAACGCGAAGAACCUUACCUGGUCUUGACAUCCCGGAGACCCUUAGGAAACUAGGGGUGCUUCCAUCUGGAAGAAUCUGGAGACAGGUGCUGCAUGGCUGUCGUCAGCUCGUGUCGUGAGAUGUUGGGUUAAGUCCCGCAACGAGCGGCAACCCUUGCCUUUAGUUGCCAGCAGUUCGGCUGGGCACUCUAAAGGGACUGCCGGUGUUAAACCGGAGGAAGGUGGGGAUGACGUCAAGUCCUCAUGGCCUUUAUGACCAGGGCUACACACGUACUACAAUGGCCGAUACAAAGGGCAGCGACACUGCGAGGUGAAGCCAAUCCCGUAAAAUCGGUCUCAAGUCCGGAUUGGAGUCUGCAACUCGACUCCAUGAAGUUGGAAUCGCUAGUAAUCGUGGAUCAGCAUGCCACGGUGAAUACGUUCCCGGGCCUU
rnacentral:rRNA from 1 species